rnacentral:rRNA from 1 species
UUUAACUGAAGAGUUUGAUCAUGGCUCAGAUUGAACGCUGGCGGCAGGCUUAACACAUGCAAGUCGAGCGGAGAGAGGUAGCUUGCUACUGAUCUUAGCGGCGGACGGGUGAGUAAUGCUUAGGAAUCUGCCUAUUAGUGGGGGACAACAUUUCGAAAGGAAUGCUAAU